rnacentral:misc_RNA from 1 species
AAAAAAUAAAUAAAUAAAAUAAAAAAAAAUAAAAAUCAAAACUCAAAAAUCUUAGGGUUUGGUUCGGUUUUCUUUGAUUUUCCUUGAUAUAUAUAUAUAUAUUAGUAAUUUCGAUUCGGUUCAGUUUUUUUGAUUUUUUAUGAAAAUAACUGAAUCAAACUAAUUAAUCAAAAUUAUCAAAUUUAUAAACCGAACCGACCCGAUUGAAUUUUAAAACUGAACC